UACAGAGACCUCAAGCGUUAUCCGGAAUCAUUGGGCGUAAAGCGUACCGAUAGGUGGUUUAGGUAGUUUUGGGUAAAAGCCAGAAGCUCAACUUCUGAGUUUGCUCAAAAUACUCCUAGACUAGAGGGGCAAAGAGGAGAUUGGAACGAACGGUGUAGUAGUGAAAUGCGUUGAUAUCGUUCGGAACACCGAAAGCGAAGGCAGAUCUCUGGGUGCCACCUGACACUGCUAGGACGAGAGCGUGGGGAGCGAAUGGG
rnacentral:rRNA from 1 species